CCUACGGGGGGCUGCAGUGGGGAAUAUUGGACAAUGGGGGCAACCCUGAUCCAGCCAUGCCGCGUGUGUGAAGAAGGCCCCCGGGUUGUAAAGCACUUUCAGUGAGGAAGAACGCCUGGUGGUUAAUACCCAUCAGGAAAGACAUCACUCACAGAAGAAGCACCGGCUAACUCCGUGCCAGCAGCCGCGGUAAUACGGAGGGUGCGAGAGUUAAUCGGAAUUACUGGGCGUAAAGCGCGCGUAGGUGGCUUGAUAAGCCGGUUGUGAAAGCCCCGGGCUCAACCUGGGAACGGCAUCCGGAACUGUCAAGCUAGAGUGCAGGAGAGGAAGGUAGAAUUCCCGGUGUAGCGGUGAAAUGCGUAGAGAUCGGGAGGAAUACCAGUGGCGAAGGCGGCCUUCUGGACUGACACUGACACUGAGGUGCGAAAGCGUGGGUAGCAAACAGGAUUAGAUACCCGAGUAGUC
rnacentral:rRNA from 1 species